rnacentral:tRNA from 1 species
CGCGCGGUGGAGCAGUAGGUAGCUCGUUGGGCUCAUAACCCAAAGGUCGCAGGUUCAAAUCCUGCCCGCGCUA